AGAGUUUGAUCCUGGCUCAGGACGAACGCUGGCGGCGUGCUUAACACAUGCAAGUCGAACGGAAAGGCCCCAGCUUGCUGGGGUACUCGAGUGGCGAACGGGUGAGUAACACGUGGGUGAUCUGCCCUGCACUUCGGGAUAAGCCUGGGAAACUGGGUCUAAUACCGGAUAGGACCAUCGUUUAGUGUCGGUGGUGGAAAGUUUUUCGGUGCAGGAUGAGCCCGCGGCCUAUCAGCUUGUUGGUGGGGUAAUGGCCUACCAAGGCGUCGACGGGUAGCCGGCCUGAGAGGGUGGACGGCCACAUUGGGACUGAGACACGGCCCAGACUCCUACGGGAGGCAGCAGUGGGGAAUAUUGCACAAUGGGCGCAAGCCUGAUGCAGCGACGCCGCGUGGGGGAUGGCGGCCUUCGGGUUGUAAACUCCUUUCAACCAUGACGAAGCUUUUUGUGACGGUAGUGGUAGAAGAAGCACCGGCUAACUACGUGCCAGCAGCCGCGGUAAUACAUAGGGUGCGAGCGUUGUCCGGAAUUACUGGGCGUAAAGAGCUCGUAGGUGGUUUGUCGCGUCGUCUGUGAAAUUCCGGGGCUUAACUCCGGGCGUGCAGGCGAUACGGGCAUAACUUGAGUACUGUAGGGGAGACUGGAAUUCCUGGUGUAGCGGUGAAAUGCGCAGAUAUCAGGAGGAACACCGAUGGCGAAGGCAGGUCUCUGGGCAGUUACUGACGCUGAGGAGCGAAAGCAUGGGUAGCGAACAGGAUUAGAUACCCUGGUAGUCC
rnacentral:rRNA from 1 species